CUCUGAGUCAACUGGCUAAAUUUUUACCUGUUAUCUGAAUGGUAAUACAUUCCGUCCUCUUAUCUUCUAUGAGAACCAAAUUAUUCUCUCUUGUUUAUAGACUCCUCUACAUACAUAUUAAGCUCACAUCACUCUUCCUGAGAAAAGUUGAUCACCCAAUUACUUAGUGAAGUAUAACAUCAUCCUUUGCUCCAUUUGCUGUGUUCCCACCCACACUGAAACAACUGACAGGACCAGUAGAAAACACCUAGCAGCAUGAAUAGAAACAAUACAGGACACCCAGUUACAGUUGAAUUUCAGACAACAUUAUCAGACUCUUCACAUCAUCCACUCUUCCAAACAGUAGCUGAUUUGAAUAACUGGGGAGAACGAAUAAUACAUGUGCUUGUAAACCCCAAAGGUUAUGAGAACCUCAUGGAAAACUCUUCGGUGAUUCAGUGUGAUCUCAUUUCCUCUCUUGUCUCAUGUAAAGAAGACAACAUAUGCUUCAGUGAAGUGCAGAGGAAAGAGGAGAGAAGAGAAAUAUUCACAUUCUGGGUUUAAUGAGAACGAAUCUUUUGCUUUCCCAGCAACUCUCAGGAUGGAUCCCACCUCACUAAUUUAAAGCCUGAGGCAAGAUUAUGAUAGUGGGAAAAAAUAUCGCUGUGCCUUACUGACAUGAUAUUAUCCUUUAAAGAAAUAUGUUCAAAAUACUUAAAAUCUGCUAAUUCUGAAAGCGUAGGUCAUAGAAAAUUGAACUCACUUUUCCCUUCCUUUCUCCCUGUUCAAGUCCCCAAGCUAUUGUGGAAAAACUGUACCACAUUCUAAAGUCUCUUUCAACUAUAAAAAGAAUACCCCAGAAAAUCUUCUCCAAAAACAUUUCUUCCAGCUGUCUCUGGGGUCUUGUGAAAUCAAAGGUAACUUUUAGCUCAUGAGUGGGCAACAAAACUUUGAAAUUCAUAUGUCCUUUUCCAGUGGGUUGGUUUGGGAAAUUUUGUGGUUUUCCUACCCUUGGGAUAAUCCUAGACCUGAAAAUAUUCUGUAUCAUAGUGGAGAAGAUAAAGAAAGAAAAGAAUCGUGAAAGGUACCACAUGUUGUUAACACCUUUUGUAGGUCAUGCCCUCUUGUGCUUUCACUUUUAAAUACAUUAUCUCAUGAAAUACUUAUGCUUACACUGUCAUGUACGUUAUACUAGCUCUAGUUUAAAAUGGAGCAAUCUGAGUGUUUGAGAGUCAAAUUUACUCAUCAAUGGUUAACUCAUCUUGUUAGUGACAGGGCCAAAACUCAAACCUAGCUGUAGAUGCUUCUGAACUGUGGUGACUUCCCAUGUUUCUGUGAUGAACAGUUAAUAUUCUAUCUAAAGAAAACAUAAUCAAGUAAGUGGAUCUGUG
rnacentral:lncRNA from 1 species